CUGGUGUUCGGGUUGUCAUGCCAAUGGCACUGCCCGGUAGCUAAAUGCGGAAGAGAUAAGUGCUGAAAGCAUCUAAGCACGAAACUUGCCCCGAGAUGAGUUCUCCCUGAGACUUUAAGUCUCCUGAAGGAACGUUAAAGACGAUGACGUUGAUAGGCCGGGUGUGUAAGCGCAGCGAUGCGUUGAGCUAACCGGUACUAAUGAACCGUGAGGCUUAACCUU
rnacentral:rRNA from 1 species